rnacentral:rRNA from 1 species
GACGAACGCUGGCGGCGUGCUUAACACAUGCAAGUCGAACGGAAAGGCCCUGCUUUUGUGGGGUGCUCGAGUGGCGAACGGGUGAGUAACACGUGAGUAACCUGCCAUUGACUUUGGGAUAACUUCAGGAAACUGGGGCUAAUACCGGAUAGGAGCUCCUGCUGAAUGGUGGGGGUUGGAAAGUUUCGGCGGUUGGGGAUGGACUCGCGGCUUAUCAGCUUGUUGGUGGGGUAGUGGCUUACCAAGGCUUUGACGGGUAGCCGGCCUGAGAGGGUGACCGGCCACAUUGGGACUGAGAUACGGCCCAGACUCCUACGGGAGGCAGCAGUGGGGAAUAUUGCACAAUAGGCGGAAGCCGGAUGCAGCAACGCCGCGUGCGGGAUGACGGCCUUCGGGUUGUAAACCGCUUUCGCCUGGGACGAAGCGUGAGUGACGGUAAUGUGUAAAGAAGCACCGGCUAACUACGUG